CUUGGAGGCUCAAACCACCAACGAUCGCAAUGCUGCGUCGCGAGCCAGGCCGGUCUCCGCGGUAACCGGUUUGCCGCUGAGGACUCUGGGAGUUGUAGUUGGGAGGAAGCCGGCUGCGCUCCAGGACGGCCGAGCCGCUGCUCGUUAGCGUUGGCCUCUGCAGGCCACAGGCGGGCUCCGCGGACAGGGCGAGCAGUCCGACUCGCCCUUCAGACGAGCUCUCGAUGUUCUUCAUUAUCUCCAGAACAGGAAGUUCUCUGGAACAAAUGGCACCUAUGCAGUGAGCGCAAGAGUUCCCGGUAUCGGGGCGGGGCGCGGUUCCAGGCUGCCGGGGCACAGGAGCGGAGGUGGGCUGGGUGACUGGCCGGUUUUGCCCCAGGUGGUCCUAUGGCAGCUGCCCCCCCAGCCUCACGAAGGAGCAGCUGGAGGAGCAGCUGUGCCCACUGCCCACUCACGACCACUUCGAGGUGGCCAGUGCAGACCACAGCCUUUAUCCUCAUCUCUACUCAAGAGCAUACAUUAAUUUUAGGAAUCCUGAUGACAUCCUUCUGUUCAUAGAUCAUUUUGAUGGGUAUGUCUUCAUGAGUAGUAAAGGCCUGGAAUAUCCUGUUGUGGUAGAGUUUGCCCCAUUCCAGAGAUAGUCAGGAGGAAGCCGAAGAAGAGAGACACCAAGAUGGGGAGCAUCGAAGACGAUCCAGAGUAUAAAUAGUUUUUAGAAAUUUACAGCAUGGAAGAAGAGAGAACCAGUGCCAACCCUGAAACUCUUCUGGGAGAGAUAGAGGCAAAGAUGAGAGAACUUGUUGCUAGAAGAACCACACCUCUUUUGGACUAUAUUAAAAACCGAAAAUUAGAAAAGCAGAGAAUUUGAGAAGUGAGAAGAACGAAGGAGGAGGGAGUUAGAAAAGAAAUGCUUGCAGGAGGAAGAAAAAAGAAAAAGAUGAGAAGAAGAAAGAUACAGGAGGAAAGAGGCAGAUGAACAAAAGACAACUAUUGAGACAGGAGUGAG
rnacentral:lncRNA from 1 species